UGUACAAGAGUGUGCUUGCAUACAAAACUUUGGUUUUUGUGGAACCGUACAU
rnacentral:tRNA from 1 species